AAAAUAUGAAGUUCAAGAAAAAGCCGCUAACUUUUUUCUUUAAUGGUUAAAUUCCAUUAAUAUUUUU
rnacentral:tRNA from 1 species